rnacentral:misc_RNA from 1 species
GAUGAAGAACGUAGCGAAAUGCGAUAAGUAAUGCGAAUUGCAGAAUUCAGUGAGUCAUCGAAUCUUUGAACGCACAUUGCGCCCUGUGGUAUUCCGCAGGGCAUGCCUGUUCGAGCGUCAUUUCAACCCUCAAGCUCUGCUUGGUGUUGGGCCCUGCCCGCUGCGGCCGGCCCUAAAGACAGUGGCGGUGCCGCCUGGCCCUGAGCGUAGUACAUCUCUCGCUCCAGUGCCCGGUGGUAGCCUGCCAGAACCCCAACUCUCGUGGUUGACCUCGGAUCAGGUAGAGAUACCCGCUGAACUUAAGCAUAUCAAUAAGCGGAGGA